UCCGGAAAGGCGUUUGGGAUGCCCACGAUGAGGCUGCUGUCAUUUGUGGUGUUGGCUCUAUUUGCUGUCACUCAAGCAGAAGAAGGAGCCAGGCUUUUGGCUUCCAAAUCACUGCUGAACAGAUAUGCCGUGGAGGGACGAGACCUGACCUUGCAGUACAACAUCUACAAUGUCGGCUCAAGUGCUGCAUUAGACGUGGAACUAUCUGAUGAUUCCUUCCCUCCAGAAGACUUUGGCAUUGUGUCUGGAAUGCUCAAUGUCAAAUGGGACCGGAUUGCCCCCCAGUGCUAGCAAUGUCUCCCACACCGUGGUCCUGCGCCCCCUCAAGGCUGGUUAUUUCAACUUCACCUCAGCAACAAUUACUUACCUGGCCCAGGAGGAUGGGCCCGUUGUGAUUGGCUCUACCAGUGCACCUGGACAGGGAGGAAUCCUGGCUCAGCGAGAGUUUGACAGGCGAUUCUCCCCUCAUUUUCUGGACUGGGCAGCCUUUGGGGUCAUGACCCUUCCCUCCAUCGGCAUCCCCCUGCUAUUGUGGUACUCCAGCAAGAGGAAAUAUGACACUCCCAAAACGAAGAAGAACUGAUUGGGGCUUCUACAGCCCUCCUCUCCCAAGAAAUCCAGGCUCCUCUCCCAAGAAAUCCAGGUGCUUUCCAGACUCCAAAGGGUAUCUUAAAUGCAAUCUCUUCUCUCUUAGCCCUUGGCCACUUUCUCCUGGAUCCUGCCCUGCUCUCAGCCAUAGUGAAGAACCAGGCCUAGGAGUCUGUGAGAGCCUCCUUGGUUCCAUCGUGAAGCCAUAAACAGGAAUGCCUUUGGCAAUAGCCUUGAGCCUAGAGGGCCCUCUGAUGCCCCACUGAGGUGCUGUUGGUUUAUUGCUGGCAAUGUGAAUUCUCUCAGGGGUCUAGGAGGGGCAUUUUGGAGACUGCCUGACACCACCCCCAUCCCCUGCCUCCCCCUCUCAGAAGAGGGUGGAAGAUGAAAUGAAAGCUAUGGGACUCUAGGAGGAUACCC
rnacentral:sRNA from 1 species